GUAGGCUCGAUACAGCUCGUGUUCGACUCGUAUUCGGCUCGAUUUUAGCUCGUUCGGCUCGUGUUCGUAAGAUAAAUGAGCCGAGCUUGAGCUCAAUAUUAAGCUCGGCCAAAAAACGAGCCGAGCUUGAGCAAAGAUAUAUUCGGCUCGUCUAGCUCGUGAGUAGCUCGUAUUUUCCAUGAGUAGCUCGAGCUUGUUAAAACUCGGCUCGUUUGUUAAAGCUCAACUAAUGAAAUUUAUACUAUAAAAAUAUAAUUAUUCUAAUCUCAAUUCUUCAAUUCUUUUUAUUACAUUCCUUUUCAAUUGGAAGAGAAUCUGAGUUGGCCCCAUUCUUAUUUAAUUAGUUUAAGUGCAAUUUUGAGUUGGAUUCAUCAUUUUGAGUUUAUUCUAGACAAUAAAAGGGAUUUGUAUGAUGGUCAGACAUC
rnacentral:lncRNA from 1 species